rnacentral:piRNA from 1 species
UAGGACUCAAUCCAAGGGAACCUUGCCU